rnacentral:lncRNA from 1 species
CCUUUGGACCUGUGGGUGCUGCUGGUUGAGGUGAUGAUACUUGGGGGUGCUGCAGCCACCUUGCCACGUUGAGUAGACAAAGCUGAGGUCAAGGCCAACCUGCCAAGGAUGCCAAGAGAUGAUGGGAAGAACCAGUUCCCAAGUGGUCACUGACCCACUGAGGUUAUCAACCUGGGUUUGUCUAUUUCUGGACUUUUGGUAAUAUGAGCUAAUAAAUAUCCAAGUGGGUAAGCCUUUUUGAGCUGGGCGUUUUUUCUCAUGGAGGCAGCUUCCUGUUAUAGGGGGCAGUGAAGAAGUCAGAGUUCAUGGCUGAAAGCACAGGAUGCAGACUUAGACAGACCUGAGUUCAGGUCCUUGCUCUGCCACCUACUUGCUGUGUGACCUUGGGCUUAGCUUCUCUGACCUUGAGUUUCUUCAUCUGCCUCCAAAUAAGGGAGAGCCCUGGCAGAAUCAUGGGAGGAACAGCGUGUGGAGCCCUCAGCACAGAGCCCAGCCCAGUGAGCAGUCAAUAAAUGUUAGCUCUCCCAAAGUUGGCAACCAGUCUGAAAGACUUCAUGCCCAGUCUCACAGCAGAGCUCCGUAGCCCAGGAUCUUCCAAGCACACGUUGCUCGUAGCCAUGAAGAAAUAAAAACAACCCAUGUUUGGCCCAAUCUUCUACACAUUAGGGCUUUUGAGCCUUUCCUAGGGAUACCAAUUAUGCAGCAUUUUGUGCUAGGUGGAUCUGGGAUUGUUUUAAGCUCUCUUUCAAAUGAAAGCAACAGUCUUUUUUAAAAAGUAAAAAUAAAAUGGACUCAUCACCCAACAGUAAUGCACAUGUAUGUUCAUCAAAGAAAAUAUAGAGGGAUCCACCGCUGUAUGAUUGGUACCAGCCUGUUAUGGGGUUGAAUUUUGUCCCCCACCCAAAAAGCUGCGGUAAGUCCUGACCCCAGGACCUUGGAAUUGGCCUUAUUUGGAUGGAGGGUCUUUCCAGAAGUAACAAAGCUGAAGUGAGGUCAGUAGGGUAGACCCUAGUCCUCAUCAGAAGGGAGAACUUGGACACAAAGAAACCCACAAAGGGAAGGCGAUGUGAAGACACAGAAAGAAACGCCCACCUACAAGCCACAGAGUGAGGCCUGGAACACGUCCUCCCUCCCCACACAGCCUCAGAGGGAACCAGCCCUGCUGUUGCUAUGAUCUCAGAUUUGCAGCCUCCAGAGCCAUGAGAUAAUACGUGUCCGUGCUUUAAGCCGCCCAGUCUGUGGCACUUUGUUAUGGUAGCCUGAGCAGACUAACACAGGCCCCAGGCUGGACACAACACAAAUGCCCGUCAGGAGGUGCGCAGAUAUUCUUAAGAGGCAGCAGAUACCCACUGGAAUCCCUCGAAGCCUGGCAGCCCCCCACGGAGCAGAGGGGGCCCUGUGCAUGAGGCCUCAAAAUCACCAACUUCUCAUCAUUAAAACUGAGAGAGAGAGAGAGAGAGAGAGAACACCAAAGCCUCACCGUGGAAACACAUGAACACGAAUGAGCAGGCUGUAGCGGAAGCAUGCCAUCUACUGCCAUCUGCUUCUGGUGAGGCCUCAGGGAGCUGCCAAUCAUGGCGGAAGGUGAAGGGGAGCCAGUGCAUCACACGGCAA